AUUUUACUGGCCGCUUGCUUAUUUGUUCAACUCGAAUCAGCCGAACUGCCAAGCUACCUUCCAAGAUGUUACCAAGACGAUCCGAACAUAAGUGAUUGCUUUAUAACCGCUGCGAAUAGUCUAAACGAGAACGUCAGAAGUGGGAUACCGGAAAUCGGUUUACGUCCGUUAGACUCGUUCGUCUCCCCCGAUUUCAACAUAACACUGGAAUCUGCGAUCUCCGACGUUUAUAUCGCCUUUAAACGUUUCACCCUGUACCAAGUGCACAACUAUCGAUUUACCUCGGCAGAUGUUCGACCCAAAGAUGGCGUACUUGGGGGUCAGGUCAUCUUCUCAGACCUAGGUCUGUCGGCGGAUUUCGAUGUUCGGGGACACUUGAUUAAUGUGCCACUCAAUGGACGCGGUUACUCCAAAUUUGAGGCCGAGAACGUCGUUUGCGAUUUUUUGAUCAACU